UACAGAGGUCCCAAGCGUUGUUCGGAUUCACUGGGCGUAAAGGGUGCGUAGGUGGUGGAUUAAGUCGGGUGUGAAAUCUCCGGGCUCAACCCGGAGGGUGCGCCCGAAACUGAUCCGCUCGAGGGUGGGAGGGGAGACUGGAAUUCUCGGUGUAGCAGUGAAAUGCGUAGAUAUCGAGAGGAACACCGGUGGCGAAGGCGAGUCUCUGGACCACUCCUGACACUGAGGCACGAAAGCCGGGGGAGCAAACAGG
rnacentral:rRNA from 1 species